rnacentral:rRNA from 1 species
CUGGCUCAGAUUGAACGCUGGCGGCAGGCCUAACACAUGCAAGUCGAGCGGUAGCACAGAGAGCUUGCUCUCGGGUGACGAGCGGCGGACGGGUGAGUAAUGUCUGGGAAACUGCCUGAUGGAGGGGGAUAACUACUGGAAACGGUAGCUAAUACCGCAUAACGUCGCAAGACCAAAGAGGGGGACCUUCGGGCCUCUUGCCAUCAGAUGUGCCCAGAUGGGAUUAGCUAGUAGGUGGGGUAACGGCUCACCUAGGCGACGAUCCCUAGCUGGUCUGAGAGGAUGACCAGCCACACUGGAACUGAGACACGGUCCAGACUCCUACGGGAGGCAGCAGUGGGGAAUAUUGCACAAUGGGCGCAAGCCUGAUGCAGCCAUGCCGCGUGUAUGAAGAAGGCCUUCGGGUUGUAAAGUACUUUCAGCGAGGAGGAAGGCAUUGUGGUUAAUAACCACAGUGAUUGACGUUACUCGCAGAAGAAGCACCGGCUAACUCCGUGCCAGCAGCCGCGGUAAUACGGAGGGUGCAAGCGUUAAUCGGAAUUACUGGGCGUAAAGCGCACGCAGGCGGUCUGUCAAGUCGGAUGUGAAAUCCCCGGGCUCAACCUGGGAACUGCAUUCGAAACUGGCAGGCUAGAGUCUUGUAGAGGGGGGUAGAAUUCCAGGUGUAGCGGUGAAAUGCGUAGAGAUCUGGAGGAAUACCGGUGGCGAAGGCGGCCCCCUGGACAAAGACUGA